rnacentral:misc_RNA from 1 species
GGAAGGAUCAUUCACAAAUUUCCAGUUUUACCGUUUCGUAAGUAGUAAAUUUCCCCAGAUUACCCCGGUUUCUUUCUUGCCAUAUCAAGUACAGUACAACUGCCUUGUACAGAAUUCAGCGAUGGAUAUUUUGACUCCCAUCUCGACGAAGGGCGCAGCAACUCGCGAAAAUCAACGUAUAUUGCAGAAUUCUGUGGAAUGGAAGAUUACUGAAUACAUACGCAUCUCGUAUGAACUUCAUCUUACGAGAACUUCUGCUUCAGUGUACAUCACUUAGGUAAUAUAGAAUGCAUGUCUUCUAGAAAGUCAACAGAUGUAAUUAUGUGUAACAGAUAUAAUUGAAUGUAAGCGAAAAUCUAAGCGAAAAUCGAAGCUAAAUGAUUUCUUAAGAUAUGUACAACCUGAAGUCAGUAUUGGUCACCUGCUGAAUUUAAGCAUAUCACUGUGCAGUGGAAAGAAUACUUACUAGUUCUUCCUUAUUAACGGCGAGUGAACAGGAAUAAACUCAAUAUGAAAACCAAAGACGUGAUCUUUGAAUUGUAGUCUAAUGGAGUGUGUCCAGUGGAUGCGUGCUGGCUGAUCUCUUGAAAUAGAGUACCACCGCGAGUGAUAGUCUCAUAUCUCCAGAAGCAACAUCCACGUAUGGUACAUUUGCUUGAAGUCGCGUUCCUUGGAAAUGGAAAGCGAAGUUGAAGAUAGUGUUCUCCUAAAGUUGUUUAUUUCUGGGAGAUCGAUAGUGAACAGGUACCGUGUGGGAAAAAUGAAAAGAACUUUGACGAGGGAGGUAAAAUUGCUUGAAACCGCUGAAAUAGAAGCGUAGGAAGUUUAAGUGUCUAUGGCAUUCUUAUGUUGUCACAUAGAGUAUUACAACGUUCAUGCAACUCUGUAAUACACUGUGUGUUUACAUUCAUAUGCUGUAUCAACAAUCAUACACUGCUCGGCAAUCACUGAAGUAGAUUUCUGUGUACAUGCUUAUUGAGAGCAACCACAUAUCUACGUUCUACCGCCCAGCAUCAUAUCUAUACUUCUUGCAUUGGCUUCACUUUAUAAGAACUUUUGCAAACCUAGAUAUACAAGAAUUUCUACGACCCGUCUUGAAACACGGACCAAGGAGUCUAACGUGCCUGCGAGCAAGCAGCAAUCUUGUUGUGUGCUGAGUGAAAGUAAUUUCUACGAUUCAACAACACUGGAUUCCGACCGCUAAUGAGCUGAGACGGUUUGAGUUAAAGUACAUUUGCUAGGACCCGAAAGAUGGUGAACUAUGCUUGAAUAGGAUGAAGUCAGAGGAAACCCUGAUGGAAGUUCGUAGCGAUACUGACGUGCAAAUCGUUCGUCUAAUUUGAGUAUAGGGGCGAAAGACUAAUCGAACCAUCUAGUAGCUGGUUCCUUU